rnacentral:lncRNA from 1 species
GGUGAGGCCGGAAGUCGGAGGCUGGUCUGCUGCUCCGCCGCUUGGUCGCGCACCUUGCUCGUGCACUACCACGAAGUGGAGGCUGGUCUGCUGCUCCGGAGGAUGGCGGCGGCGAUCGACUUCCUCAGCUGCUCCAGGCGGUGGAGCGUUGGUGGUGGUAGCGGUGGGUGGCGGCGCCGGCGGUGGUGGAGGUGGCAGGGGGCGGCGCCGGGUGGGGGGAGGGAGAGUUAGGGUUUGAGGUGGGGGAAGGGAGAAAGGACGAUUGGGGGGGGUGAUUUUCAUUUUCUUUUCUUUUUUAUUUUUAUUUUUUUUCCACAUGUAUUUUUAAUUUCAAUUUUUUUCAGAUUUUUUUGCCACAUGUCACAAAUGAGCCAAGUGGAGAAUUUCGGCUACCACAGUGUGAAUUCCGGCUGCCACAGUGGCAUUUUCGGCGCUGGCAUAAGAAAAAAUCGGUGAUCGGAUAAAUUUCAGACAAAAACUAAAGGUUAGGUAUUUAAAAGAAGAAAAA